rnacentral:tRNA from 1 species
GCCCUCGUGGACGAAUGGUUAAGUCAUUGCUCUUUCAAAGCAAAAAUGCGAGUUCAAUUCUCGUCGAGGGAAUCA